UUCCGGAUGAGUUGGCUAUUUGUAAGAAUAUGGAUUUGAAAUUUAUUGCUGGCAUUGGAGCUGGUAAAAUCCUUCUAAUGAUCCUUAUUUUACUGGGACUUCUAUAUUUUCCAAAGAAAUGCAUGAAGACAAAACAAUUAGGGAAUGAACGCAAUGAGCAUGAAGAAGCAGAACCUACUUAUCAGAAUCUAAAAAGACAGAAAAAAAUGACAUCUACAGCAACAUGAAUACGAAACAGCAAAUAUCUACGUAGACACCUCUUUUCCUGGAGAAAUACACACCAGCUCAGUGUGAAGUGGGGGUUAUUCAGACCAGAUCGCUCCUCUGUGAAUUUGCAGAGGUUUGCGAUCAGAUAGCCACCGCCCAGACAGAGGGAAAACCUGCUCCGUGCAAGUCUGUGUACGCCGCGCGAAAAUCUCAGCGUUCGCCAGUCAGCUGCAAAUAUGUUCACAACUCACUGACCAUCAAAUGUUUUUUUCUGGUCUGUUCAGUCUUAUGACACAAUUCAACAUUCUUAUCUUCAAAAU